AUGCAGGGUGGUUGCAAUCUUUAAUGUGGUUCUGUUUGUUGUUUUGUCAUUAAUCUACUUUGUGGGAUGCUGUGCGAAACGAAAUGCUGCAAGAAGCCACUCUGAAGUUUGAAACAGACCUAUAUAUCUCAAGAAAUCUUCACUUGGAGGUAAAUUUGUUCACAUUUCUUAAAAAUCACAGUUUCUAUCUGUAAGUUGUUUAACGUUGAUAAUUUUAGACAAAUAGAUACACAUACACCAUUGUUUCUCAAGCACUGACUGGGAAAUUUAUAUCUGGAGCAUCUCUUUUCUGAA